CGUAGGGUGCGAGCGUUAAUCGGAAUUACUGGGCGUAAAGCGUGCGCAGGCGGUUUAGUAAGACAGGCGUGAAGUCCCCGGGCUCAACCUGGGAACUGCGCUUGUGACUGCUAAGCUAGAGUACGGCAGAGGGGGGUGGAAUUCCACGUGUAGCAGUGAAAUGCGUAGAGAUGUGGAGGAACACCAAUGGCGAAGGCAGCCCCCUGGGUCGAUACUGACGCUCAUGCACGAAAGCGUGGGUAGCAAACAGGAUUAGAUACCCUGGUAGUCCACGCCCUAAACGAUGUCAACUAGGUGUUGGGAGGGUAAAACCUUUUAGUACCGGAGCUAACGCGUGAAGUUGACCGCCUGGGGAGUACGGCCGCAAGGUUA
rnacentral:rRNA from 1 species